rnacentral:rRNA from 1 species
GAAUUCGAUUCAGGCCUAACACAUGCAAGUCGAGGGGUAGAACACUUCGGUGUUUGAGACCGGCGCACGGGUGCGUAACGCGUAUGCAAUCUACCUUGUACAGGGGAAUAGCCCAGAGAAAUUUGGAUUAAUGCCCCAUAGUAUAUAACCUUCGCAUGUUGGUUAUAUUAAAGUUCCAACGGUACAAGAUGAGCAUGCGUCCCAUUAGUUAGUUGGUAAGGUAACGGCUUACCAAGACGAUGAUGGGUAGGGGUCCUGAGAGGGAGAUCCCCCACACUGGUACUGAGACACGGACCAGACUCCUACGGGAGGCAGCAGUGAGGAAUAUUGGUCAAUGGUCGCAAGACUGAAACAGCCAUGCCGCGUGCAGGAAGACGGUCCUAUGGAUUGUAAAGUGCUUUUAUACAGGAAGAAACCCUCCCACGUGUGGGAGCUGAC